rnacentral:rRNA from 1 species
UACGUAGGGCGCAAGCGUUGUCCGGAAUUAUUGGGCGUAAAGGGCGCGCAGGCGGUCCGUUAAGUCCGAGGUGAAAUCUCCCGGCUCAACUGGGAGGGGUCUUCGGAUACUGGCGGACUUGAGGAGUGCAGAGGUGAGUGGAAUUCUCGGUGUAGUGGUGAAAUGCGUAGAUAUCGAGAGGAACACCAGUGGCGAAGGCGGCUCACUGGGCACCACCUGACGCUGAGGCGCGAAAGCGUGGGGAGCGAACAGG